GAAAUGCGAUACGUAGUGUGAAUUGCAGAAUUCAGUGAAUCAUCGAGGUCUUGAACGCAAAUUGCGCCUGCAGGCCCUCCUGCAGGCACGCCUGUCUGAGCGUCGCCCACACCAUCACCCCCUCCACGAGUGGGUGGAAUUGGAGGUCUGUUCCACGGUGGACAGUCCUCUCAAAGGUAGAGAUGCCGACCAGGGAGCCACCUCAGUGGACACGGCUCACCGGUCUGGAGUGCGGGUAGCGCGCCGAAGCGUGACGAGCAUUCCCUGGCGAGUCGACCGCAGGAGGUCGGUCGACCUGGACGGCACACGGAGGGAGGACGAGAUCCGAAUCCUCACAUACACGACGACCUCAGAUCAGGCGGGGCUACCCGCUGAAUUUAA
rnacentral:misc_RNA from 1 species